rnacentral:rRNA from 1 species
GAGACAGGUGCUGCAUGGCUGUCGUCAGCUCGUGUUGUGAAAUGUUGGGUUAAGUCCCGCAACGAGCGCAACCCUUAUCCUUUGUUGCCAGCGGUUCGGCCGGGAACUCAAAGGAGACUGCCAGUGAUAAACUGGAGGAAGGUGGGGAUGACGUCAAGUCAUCAUGGCCCUUACGACCAGGGCUACACACGUGCUACAAUGGCAUAUACAAAGAGAAGCGACCUCGCGAGAGCAAGCGGACCUCAUAAAGUAUGUCGUAGUCCGGAUUGGAGUCUGCAACUCGACUCCAUGAAGUCGGAAUCGCUAGUAAUCGUAGAUCAGAAUGCUACGGUGAAUACGUUCCCCGGAGCCUUGUACACUGCCUCCGUCACUCUAACAAGGUAACCGUAGAGUUUGAUCCU